rnacentral:rRNA from 1 species
CCUACGGGAGACAGCAGUGAGGAAUAUUGGUCAAUGGGCGGAAGCCUGAACCCGCCAAGUAGCGUGCAGGAUGAAGGCCCUACGGGUUGUAAACUGCUUUUAUCCGGGAAUAACGCGCCUGACGUGUAGGGCUUUGCAUGUACCGUAUGAAUAAGGACCGGCUAAUUCCGUGCCAGCAGCCGCGGUAAUACGGAAGGUCCGGGCGUUAUCCGGAUUUAUUGGGUUUAAAGGGUUCAAAGGCGGAAGAUCAAGUCAGCGGUAAAAUUGAGAGGCUCAACCUCUUCGAGCCGUUGAAACUGGUUUUCUUGAGUGAGUGAGAAGUAUGCGGAAUGCGUGGUGUAGCGGUGAAAUGCAUAGAUAUCACGCAGAACUCCGAUUGCGAAGGCAGCAUACCGGCGCUCAACUGACGCUCAUGCACGAAAGUGUGGGUAUCGAACAGGAUUAGAUACCCUAGUAGUC